rnacentral:rRNA from 1 species
UAAACGACUCUCGGCAACGGAUAUCUCGGCUCACGCAUCGAUGAAGAACGCAGCAAAAUGCGAUACUUGGUGUGAAUUGCAGAAUCCCGUGAACCAUCGAGUUUUUGAACGCAAGUUGCGCCCGAAGCCAUUCGGUUGAGGGCACGUCUGCCUGGGCGUCACGC